UCUCUGGUGGUCCAGUGGCCAAGACUCUGCACUUCCAAUGCAGGGAACCAAAGUUCAACCCCUGUUCAGGGAA
rnacentral:tRNA from 1 species